rnacentral:lncRNA from 1 species
UCAACCUUUCUCUUUUUACUAUGUUGUUUGAUUUUCUAUCUAUACAUAAGAAAUCUGUAUAUUAUAACAAACACAAAAGCAUAGACAUUGUAAAGCUGUUCCAAAAUUGUUUCAUUUUCUCUAUUUCCAUAUCUCUUAACCUCAUUAUCUCCAAUUACUUAAUUUUCCCAACUCUCAUAACACCAAUAUCAUGGUUCCCCUUCAUUGCUCGGUGGCAGGCUGAUCAAUCGGGAACAAUAGCCGAGAUAAUAGCGGAGGAUGGGAAACCAGUCAGCGUAGACACGGUAUCGUUUCUCUCUUUCUCUCUUUAUGUUUAUCUACAAAAUAACAUGAUUCAGUUCUCUAACUUCAAUACUUGUGCCCCAUGCAGCCUCUUUUUGUAAUAGUUCCAUGAGUACCAGAAGAGACAUUACUUGGAAGUUGAUGAGCCUUUGUUGGAUAACAUGAAUAUGUUGAUUUAGAUUUUGUGUUGUUUAGAAAUUUCAUGAGUGAUAAUGGUUGUGUCAUUUUAAGACAUAAAAGUCCUAAGUAUAUGAAAAUGAAUAUUGGAAUUUUUAACUUCAAUCAGUUUUCAUAUCUGUAGUACCAAAAUUUUCUAUAUUGUUGGUUGUUAUGUUAUUACUGUAAUUUGUUUUAGAUAAAACAAUCUUGUCCCUUUCAUGAAAUGCUAGAUAAAGUGUGCCAUUUUCCAAGCUCCUUGGUUUAAAUUCCUUGACACCAUUGUAUUUUUUUGUACUAUCAAGGGUAUUUCAUCAGGUAAGGAAUUAAUCAUUUUCGGGAUGCGUGACUAUCCUUAUCAGGAAUUGAACUAUUGACUUUUUGGUCAUCUUGAGAAUAUAGUGAGGUCUUACACUAUUAAACUAAUACUUUAUUGGUUGACACCAUUGUAUUUGAAACACAGUGAAUCACAUUUUUUGAUCAUUAAGCUAAAUAUAAUACAACUGUAAUUUAAAACAUUUCUAAAAUUGUUGAGAAUAAAAAGCUUACAAGUAGGGUUAGUGCAUAUAUCCGUUUCAGUCAAUAAUAACAUGAAGUACUCAAUACUAAGAUCAGUCUAUUGGGUAAUAGAACACACAUUAUGAUGAAAGUGUCAACUUUCAAGCUUGAACAAUGCGCGAAUUAACUAAAUGAUUUUUUUAAAUAUAAUAGGAGGUGGAAAUGAGUCGAACCGAAGUUGACUUAGCUCAGUUCGAUUAGAAAGACUUGAGUCGAGUUUAAUGCAUAUGAUUUUUCAGCUUAAGAUUAACUCAAUAGUUCAAAAACUUUCAAACGGAUUAUAAAGAUGGCAAAAUGGGCCCGCAAAAAUUUAAGCAGGAGCGGACAUGACUGCGUUGACUUAACGGAUAAAAUGGCAUGUCCUGCCCGUCUUAAAACAGGCUAACAAACAUGCAGGCAGCCCACGAGCAUUGAUGAAUAAUUUUAAAAUAAAAAAAAGUUUGUAUAUGGUGUCUGAUUCACCGAAUAAGUAAUAAAUGUUUGUCAAAGGAUUUGCAGCUAUACCCUUUCCCUGGUAAUUUAAUUGUCCCAUUGUUGUUAUUGUUGUCUCCUGCAGUGCCUUAACAGAAAGCAAUUUUCCGUCGGAAAGCUUCAAGCAAAACUCAAUGAGGUCAGUUCACAUCGACUUUUACUUUGAACGAAAACUAUUAUCCUGCUGUUCAAAUGUGUUCUCUUCUUCCUGAGAUUUUGUACAUCAUAGGCUGAUACUGUUGAAAAUUCAAAAUCUGCACCUGUACUCAAUGGACCUACUGUCCCUUCAUCAAACGAGGAAGAACAUAAUGGGAAACUCGCUGAUGGUACUGCUGCAAAUGAAUCUUCGAUUUCUGCCUUCUUGACUCAAGUUGCAGACCUUGUCAAGUAAGACUAAGCAGUUGCGAUUUGCAUCUAUCACAUUUUUUUUUAUUUUAGAAUGAAUACCCACUUUGGUUCUUAUAAAUUUUUGUAUGUACCAAAUUGAUCCCGAGAAAAAUAAAACUUCAAACUAGUACUGAAAUAUUGCAAAUGUGAGUCAAAAUAGUAUCUAUAAGGGGUCAUAAAAAUGCUAAAAAGGUUACUAAUUUGACCCACAUUUGAUAUUUUUGGAGACUAUUGCGAGGCUUUCAAUUUUUCAGGGACCAAAUUGGUAGACACAAAUUUUGAGAGACCAAAAUAGUUAUUUACCCUUUAUUUUAUAACUAUCAUUAUAUCCAUGUUAGGACAUGAAUUAUUUCCUUUGUUUUUAUUUAAUGUUAUAUUUCCUUGGGCAGACUUGUAGAUUCCCGAGAUAUUGUGGAAUUGCAACUUAAGCAAUCAGGUUGCGAGCUCGUGAUAAGAAAACAAGAAGCUUUGCAGCCUCCACCAGCCUCGACUAUAGCACCAGCAUCACCGCCGUAUCCUUAUCCAACAUAUCAAGCUCCACCAGCACCAGCACCACCUGCUCCAGCUCCUGCCAGCCCACCACCUUCAAAAGCAGUACCCGCCUUACCUUCUCCGGGGAAAGCAAGCACAUCAUCUCACCCACCACUGAAAUGUCCAAUGGCAGGAACCUUUUAUCGGAGUCCAGCACCCAGUGAACCUCCAUUUGUCAAAGUAUGUAGCCAUGCUUGGUUUUAAUAGCACACUUCUCUGUUGAUUCUGCCAUAUUUCAAUUUUCAACUAAUCAUUCCGGCUUUUACGUAUAAACAAAACAAUGAAUGACCUAAUCACUUUGUUGAUGCUUCAGGUGGGCGACAAAGUUCAGAAAGGCCAGGUUAUUUGCAUUAUCGAGGCUAUGAAGCUGAUGAAUGAAAUCGAGGUAUAUGUAUCAUAUUUGUUUUUCCUGUUUUUUCCUAUAUUUUAUCAACCUUUCUCUUUUUACUAUGUUGUUUGAUUUUCUAUCUAUACAUAAGAAAUCUGUAUAUUAUAACAAACACAAAAGCAUAGACAUUGUAAAGCUGUUCCAAAAUUGUUUCAUUUUCUCUAUUUCCAUAUCUCUUAACCUCAUUAUCUCCAAUUACUUAAUUUUCCCAACUCUCAUAACACCAAUAUCAUGGUUCCCCUUC